rnacentral:rRNA from 1 species
UACGGAGGGUGCAAGCGUUAUCCGGAUUCACUGGGUUUAAAGGGUGUGUAGGCGGAUUUUUAAGUCAGUGGUGAAAUCUCCGGGCUCAACCCGGAAACUGCCAUUGAUACUAUUAGUCUUGAAUUCUGUUGAGGUGGGCGGAAUACAUCAUGUAGCGGUGAAAUGCUUAGAUAUGAUGUAGAACACCGAUUGCGAAGGCAGCUCACU